GGUGAGAUGUCCGAGUGGCUUAAGGAGCACGCUUGGAAAGCGUGUGACGGGUCAAACUGUCCGAGGGUUCGAAUCCCUCUCUCACCGCCA
rnacentral:tRNA from 1 species